CGGGGGGGAGGGGCGGCGAGGCGAGGCCUGCGGAGCGGGUGCGCGCGGGCGGGCACGUGGGGCCCUUUCGUCCCCGGCGUCCGGGCGCCCUGCAUGGAUCCCCCACCCCAGCUCCUGCUCCCCGGCGGCGGCCGGUGGGCAGAAAGACCGAAACCCACUCACGGCCGCCUGCCGAAUCGCGGCUCUGCUGUUUGUGGGGCGUGCUAGAAACGUGGUCCUAAAAAGAAUGGCGUCCAUUUACAUAAUGCUUUGUUUGCGUUUCGCAAGUUUCUUUCGGUUAAAGCCACAGAAACCCCACCUCCUGCCCUUGUGUCGUUUCCACCGCGGCACCCUUUUCCGACAUUAGAAACAAUAGUGUACGCCUGUGGAGGCCUCGUUUGUUCAGGGGCUGCCGGCCAGGGCUUCAGGACGUUUCUGCGGCUUUCCCCGCGCGGCCUGGGCUCCCGCGGCUGCUUUUCGGGCCCAUGGGCGCAGCCACUGCGCCAGGCUCAAGGGGGGCGGCCCCGUCAGGGCCCGCCAUCUUGGAAGGCCUUUUUUGCCGGUUCUUCCCGCUGAGGAAGUGUCGCUCAAGACGCUGGCCUAUGAGUUGUGAUUUCUGCCUUUUCCCCUUCCUCCUUGGGCUAAGCCAGACCAGAAAGGGCCCCGUGCGCAACGUGCUUCACAAUCUCUCAGGGAAAGCGGCUAACGUGGCGCUACUCCGCCUCCCCUGUUCCUUACCCUUGGGGCGGCCGCCAUGUUUCCUGAACACAAAAUGGCGACACGUGGUUAGCAUUCGUCGCCAACGAGAAAUUGGGGUCGGCCCGAAAGCUCUAGAAUGCACCCCUCUUCCUCCCCGGGGCCUUCCACCUCCGCGAGUUUUAUGACUUAAAAAAGCCCACAGGCUGGUCUGAAGGUCGGAGGCCUAAUUUUAACGCGUUUUCCUCCCUUUAAUUUGAAACGGGAACGCGAAUGACUGUAAAAUGUGGGCACAAUAUUUAAUCUCUCGCCUUUUUAAAGCUUAAUAGUGGAUAAUAGGGGGGCAGUAUCAAGGGAUAAUUUGGGUCCCCACAGUACCAAAGCAUUUAGAAACCUCUGUUUAAUUUAAGGAAUGAGAUAAGUUACUGCUUUUCUAGACUUCCUAGCAUGGGCUGUUGUGCUGGAGAGAACGAGAGCUACGAAGAGACUACAGUGCCUCUGACUUUUUCAUAGGACAGUUGGCCGAGGAAGACAAACAUAAAGAUGAAGUGCUUAAUUCAAGGUCACACAAUGUCGGGGAUGGACCUCCAGAUUUCCUUACUGGUGAGACGUGGUCUUGUAACACAGUGGUUAAGAAUGUGACUUUGGAGCCAGCCUGCUAGGGGCUGAAUUCUGACUCAGCCAUUUACUAACUGUGUGACCUUAGGCUGGAGUGCAAUGGCAUGAUCUCGGCUCAUCACAACCUCUGCUUCCUGGGUUCAAGCGAUUCUCCUGCCUCAGCCUCCCGAGUACCUGGGACUACAGGCACUCGCCACCAUGCCCGGCUGAUUUUUGUAUUUUUAAUAGAGAUGGUUUCACUAUGUUGGCCAGGCUGGUCUCGAACUCCUGACCUUGUGAUCUGCCCACCUCAGCCUCGAAAAGUGCUGGGAUUACAGGCGUGAGCCACUGCGCCCAGCCUUGUAUUUUUUUUCAGUUUGGGUAGCUGUCCCUAAUUCAUUUGUUAAAGGAGAAGCAAGAGCAAGAACCUUUAAUCUGUUCUCCUCUUCCCUAAUUUGAAAGUAGCUUGUUAUUUUGAAUAUCACUUUCUCUGAAAUAGCACAUCUCCAUCUCAGAGAAUGGAUUUAAUGUUUGGAUACAGCCAAAAGUCAUUUCAUUACCAAACCAUGGGGUGAAUAUACCAUGUAAAGCAGUUUGGGAUCAGAACUCACAGUCUGAAUUGUAAGUGAUGAGACUGCUGUCUCUCUGCUACAGCUUCUUGGCUGGCUCUGAAGGCUCUUUGAAGGCAGAUCCUAACAAGGGGACUGCUUUGAAGGGCCAUUGUUCAUUUGGAAUGAUAAAGUCUAUGUUGUUCAAAAAACAAAUGCUUGUAGCAGGUAUUUUUUCACUCCAGACUGAGAAUAUUGGUGGGAUAUUGAUAAGGGGUACUGAAUGGUAAUAAACAUGUGCUCUAGCUCUGUGCUAGUCAGCUUAUUUCAGAACUCUAGUUUGAUUCAGUUUCUUGCCUCUGACUCAAAAUGGAGGGAGAGUGAUUUUUACAUAAGAGAACACACCCACAUAUCCUUUUGGCAGCAGCUACCUGCCAGAGAUGUUGAAGAAGAGUAGCCAACCUUUACACAGCAGAUAUUGUGUGCCAGUCAUAGUCCUAAGUAUAAUACCUUACAUGUAUAAACUUCUUAUAAGGUUGGUGCUCUGUACCGAAUUGAAUAGUAUCCCCCAAAAUUCAUGUUGUCCCAGAACCUAUGAAAGUGAUCUUACUUGAGGGAGGGGGGAGGGGGGAGGGAUAGCAUUAGGAGAUAUACCUAAUGCUAAAUGACGAGUUAAUGGGUGUAGCACACCAGCAUGGCACAUGUAUACAUAUGUAACUAACCUGCACAUUGUGCACAUGUACCCUAAAACUUAAAGUAUAAUAAUAAU
rnacentral:lncRNA from 1 species